GGGUGAUUGGUCUAAUUGUAUGAUUCUAGCUUUGUGUGCGAUAGGCCUCGGGUUCAAUUCCCGUAUCGCCCC